UGGGUAGUCCGCACGAGCGCACCUUACUUUUAGUUGCCACCAUUUAGUUGGGCACUCUGAAAGAACUGCCAGUGAUAAGCUGGAGGAAGGUGGGGAUGACGUCAAGUCCUCAUGGCCCUUAUGUGUUGGGCUACACACGUGCUACAAUGGCAUUUACAAUAGGAAGCAAGAUGGCGACAUUAAGCAAAUCCUAAAAAAAUGCCUCAGUUCGGAUUGUACUCUGCAACUCGAGUACAUGGAGCUGGAAUUACUAGUAAUCGUGGAUCAGCGUGCCACGGUGAAUACGUUCCCGGGUCUUGUACACACCGCCCGUCACACCAUGGGAGUUGGUUCUACCUUAAGGCAAAGAUUAAAAUCUUUGACCACGGUAUAGUCAGCGACUGGGGUGAAGUCGUAACAAGGUAGCCGUAGGGGAACCUGCGGCUGGAUUACCUCCUUUCU
rnacentral:rRNA from 1 species